AUUGAACGCUGGCGGCAUGCCUUACACAUGCAAGUCGAACGGAUCAGAGGAGCUUGCUCUUCUGGUUAGUGGCGAACGGGUGAGUAAUGCAUCGGAACGUACCCAGUAGUGGGGGAUAACGUAGCGAAAGUUACGCUAAUACCGCAUACGACCUGAGGGUGAAAGCAGGGGAUCGCAAGACCUUGCGCUAUUGGAGCGGCCGAUGUCGGAUUAGCGAGUUGGUAGGGUAAAAGCCUACCAAGGCGACGAUCCGUAGCUGGUCUGAGAGGACGACCAGCCACACUGGGACUGAGACACGGCCCAGACUCCUACGGGAGGCAGCAGUGGGGAAUUUUGGACAAUGGGGGAAACCCUGAUCCAGCCAUGCCGCGUGAGUGAAGAAGGCCUUCGGGUUGUAAAGCUCUUUCAGACGGAAAGAAAUCUUCCGGGCUAAUACCUCGGGAGGAUGACGGUACCGUAAGAAGAAGCACCGGCUAACUACGUGCCAGCAGCCGCCGUAA
rnacentral:rRNA from 1 species